rnacentral:rRNA from 1 species
AUACGGAGGGUGCAAGCGUUACUCGGAAUCACUGGGCGUAAAGCGCGCGCAGGCGGUCUUUUAAGUUGGAUGUGAAAGCCUACGGCUCAACCGUAGAACUGCAUCCAAAACUAUUAGACUAGAGUGUGGGAGAGGAAGAUGGAAUUAGUUGUGUAGGGGUAAAAUCCGUAGAGAUAACUAGGAAUACCAAAAGCGAAGGCAAUCUUCUGGAACACUACUGACGCUGAGGCGCGAAAGCGUGGGGAGCAAACGGGAUUAGAAACCCUUGUAGUCC